AGUGAAUGUAAAUGGGAAAACGAAAUAGUACUAUGGUGUAGUGUCGAACUACAACCGUACCAAUUUCCUUAAGUCUAGGGUAAUCGUGUAAGUACUGUAGUAUUUGUAAUAAAUAACUACAUCGGUACUCCGCUGCCUUAUUUGAGGGAUAAGGUAUAAUGUGAUGUCUAGAUCCCAGGCUGUACGCUCCCCUAUCAAAGGGAUUUUGGGACCUACCCACGACCCCUGCAUAUCUGCAAGCUGUGAGCAUCCACAUUACUAUGAUCAUGUAUACUCGAUAUAACUAUCACAAUUUCGUUGUGAUUCAUCAGUAUAGUUAGAUCCUGAACUGGGUCCAUGCUAUAGCACCUAGUGACAUCUGUUCUAUGUAUAUGUAAGUGUACUCGUGUAAGUGUGAUCAUGUAAUUGUACUCAUGUAAACGUGACAACGUAAACUUAUCUAUGUAAUAGUAUAGUAAUGUACUGUAAUGUUCUAGCUGUAGUGUACGUGCUCUCUAUCUAGCAAGUAUAGUAAUGUACUGUAAUGUUCUAGCAGUAGUGUACGUGCUCUCUAUCUAGCAAGUAUAGUAAUGUACUGUAAUGUUCUAGCAAGUAUUGACUCAUGAAUGAACUGACUCAUUGUAUGGUAUCGCAUUCUAGUAAUAGUUCUAGUAUCUUCCUAAACUACCCAUAUGGUAGUUUACUAGUAAUCUAACUGGUACGUAUGGACAUGGAUGUAUACCCUUGCUACCCAAGGGCAUGGGAUGAACUGGAAGGGCCUUUAUGACUAUAUAUGUACAUAUGUUAUAUAACUAAUAUUUAAACGACCUUCGGACGAGUACCCGAUAUCCCACCAGACCACAUCUCAAGCGCGAAAAGGAAAUAGGGUGGAUAGCCUUCCUAAGUCUUUUAAACAUUUCUUAUAUAACUAUACAUAUAGAGGCAUGCAAUUUAUAAUAUAAAAGCAUAAAUAAGUUUUGUAAAACCUUUGAACAUAAUUAUUAUCUUAAGAAAAGAUCGACUUGAUGUCAAUCUAUAAAACGGUUUUGAAGGCAUGGGUUUGAUAAAACGGUUUAGUAUAAAGAAACAUUUGUUUGAAACACAAUUGUAAAUAAGUUUGAAAAGUAAUAUACAGAGUAAAAUGUACAGAGAAAUAAGGAGUUUUAAACACAUAAAGUGUUUAUGAAAGACAUUUGAAGGAAACUGUUUAGUAAAACGGCUAAUGAGUAGCCAAUCAUUUGAAUGCUGCUUAUUAAUCACAUGUGAUUGAUAUAAUAAUUAGCAUAAUUCUACUUGUAUCCCCCCCCAUAAAACAUUUAAAAACAGUUUAAAACAUUGAUUAAGGGGUAUGAACUCACCUGUAGUGAGUGGUUCUGAUGAAAAUGUUGGAUCAGUUGCUAAGUGUCAAGUGGUGACUUGAGUACACACGCGAAUCCUAUUUAGCAUAUAUUGGCACAUAUAUGGAUAUAAUUAGUGUUAUGAACAACUAAUUGAUGAUUUUGGGACCACCUUAGGGACUAGUAAACACUUAUAAUGAAGUGUUACAAUCAUAUAUGAUUGUAUGAGGGUUUAUAAGGCUAUACAAGAGGGUGUAUGGCCAAAAUACACACUAUAUGUGUGUGUGCGGCCAGGUGUGCGGCCUAGUGUGCUGCCAGCACAUGUGUGCGGCCCUGUGUGCGGCCAUGUGUGCUGCCAGAUGGUGUGUGCUGCCAUGUGUGCGGCCAGAUGGUGUUCUUGGUGUUCUUGGUACCUUUUAUGAAGAUCUUCAAGGAGAAUGGAUGAUACUUGAGAGGAUUUUCGAGUUCUAUGCUUGAAGAAGUGAAAGAAGUGUUCAAAAAUGACUAAGUGUGGUACAUAUAGGUGGAGUGUGCGGUUGGGAAGGGUGUGAGGCCGCAAACACAUGUGUGUGGCCGCACACUCAAGUGUGUGGCCGCACACUCCAUGUGUUGGAGUGUUUGGCCUCUUUUUGAUUCCUACACUUUGAGUUAACCCAUUUCCACACUCCAACCUUGAUUAUAACACAUUUAGAACGCUCCAAUAGACCCUAAAUGGUACUACAACAUAGCAAAACGAGUCUAUUAUUGAUAAGAAAUGAAGAAUGCAAGCUAGAAAUUUUUGGGUUGUCACAUCAUCCCCCCGUUAGAGGGAAUUUCGUCCCGAAAUUAGAAUUUAGACUAGGAAGUAGGUACGAAUGAUCGAGUCAUGAGGAGGAACUUUCUAAUCGAUUUGUUCUAGCGCUCCUAAGUGAAAUCGGGUUCUCGGUUGGUAUCCCAACGAACCUGCACUAAUGGGCGGUGGCGAUGCUUCGUCCGCUUGACCUCUCGGUCGAGGGUCACUACGGUUCAAAUACGACGGCGUGGAUCUCGACGAGUGGACUUACAAGAGUCCUAAUGGAAAGGUAAGGUUUCACGAUCGAGACGCAGAGGGUAGAAUGUACGCUACUGAGUUCACGGAGUAGGUCUAGUUUGUGCGAGGUACAAGACCAAUUCUGACAAGAGUCUCGGAGGUCCUAACUAUAUUGGAUUUAGCUUGCCACGUGAUACGAAGCGUAUUAAGCCAUUCCCAGAGUGAGUUCUCCUAAAGAAUUUGGUCACUCACUUGGAAUCUCCAAGGUUUCUUUUUCUUGUUUAACUUCCCAGUCAAGGGCCACCCCUUGAUGGGUCAGAGUCGAAAGGGUUUCUGUGAUUUACGAGGAGUUCUGGAUGAACUAUGACAGUAGGUCUGUAAGACCUAGAAUUUUGCGAAUUUAUUUCAGCAUCUCUGGUGUCGACAAAUGCUCAAUAGUUUUGACAAAUUGAAAAAGUACUCAAAAUUUCCCACAUUACUAACAGUGUCAUAGAAAUUUGACUCUUCAAUUUCAAAACUCGUGCCUAGAGAACUUCGCUAAAAGUUCCUCUGUAGGAAAUGUUUCCAUGGGUUUUCUUCUUACUACGAGGAUAGAUAAGUAAGUCAUUACAUGGAGAAAUGACAAACUGAUCCAAGUAAGAAAGACGUACACUACUCGUUUAGCUCAUGAAAAUUAUGGGUGUAUUGGUCCUAUCCGAAGGGUAUCACUACGGACUUGAAGUGUCCGCAUCGAAUUCAGGAGAUAGUCUUCCGGACAUCCUUCCCUAACACUCGAACUGGUGAUAUUCAGAUCUCGGAUCCAUUUCUGAAAGUAAUUUUUUCCUUGCGUUUGCUCAACCAUUUCAUCUAUGCGAGGCAGAGAUAACGAUUUCUAAUGAAAAAUCUUGACAGAGUCCUCGAUAUCCGAGGCACAUACGAUGCAAUCCGUCGAUCUCUGGGAGAAUAAGACUGGGGGUCUCUAGGGUGAGAAGCUUAGUCUUCUAAUUCUAUUUCUGUGUGGUUCGCUAAGUUGCAUGUACUGUUCUGGUAUUUCCGUAGGUGUUUAGACUAUAGGGCGAUUUGUGUACAAGAGUCGUACUGGGUUCUAAGUUUGUUCACAUGACGAUGAGAUUACUCGUAGGCUUAGGCAGUUCUCCGUCCUAAAGUUCAUAUUAGAAUUCAUACAUGUUUUCACAAUCACAAUCUCGUGUAUACGAGUUGUAUGUAAUUAAGAUUGAAAAGGUAGUCGGAUAACUGAUUCUUCUUUAAGCUCACAUCCCAACGGGGAAAAAGAAGUUAAAGUGGAAUCAUCAAUUCUAAACCUGUAGAACCUUGAUUAUAUAUCACUCUUAUGUAUACAUUCCUCAGUGAUAGAUCAAUCGUAUGAAUCCUUGGAUUGAACUUGACGUACUGCACGAGUGGUACUUCGGGGAUUUCUUCGGAAAGAAAAUAUCUAAGAGGUACUCCUGGCAUGAGUACUUCGGUGUUUUGAUGUGACGGCUUCACUGGAAAAGCGAUCUAGAAGAAAGAGAUGUACAUAUGAAGUUGUUUUUGUGAGGAUCAAAUUGAAUCGAGUCGUAUGAUAAUGUCGGAAUCAUACUGAAACUUAAAGACAUUAGAUUUGAACAUAAGACGUUUACAGACAAAACACAACCGUGCAACCAUGAACAGAGUUACAGUACUUUAGAUUUACCACAAGACUAUUGCUGCGAAUAAGAUAUACUACAAAAGACAAGUAUAUGCAGCACGAGCAUCCCUAUAAAGACAGGAUCUCGCAAAAGUUAAGACCCUAGUUGCACUAGUUCUGGAUAGUUUAUAAGUCGGUUACUACGAAACGCCUUGAUUACAUUAACGAGGGUUCCGGAGUAGGUUCCCCUGCAACUGUGAUCCUAAGAAUCUUCCCAUCUGCACCCGAGUUCUUCGCUAUCGGGCAAUCCCUUUUGAGUGUCCAAUUUCACCGCAUUGGUGACAUAUAUGGAGAACACCCACAUUGGUGGUGGAAGUGAAGUGUUUAGUAGGAGUUAUAGGGACGCGGGUUCUUUUCUUUUUCGGGCAAUCUCUUUUAUAGUGCCCAAACUCACCACAAUUAUAGCAAACUAGGCUUGCCCCAAUGGUGGAGGUAGUUCUACAGAAAUGAGCAAUGUGCCCCAUCUUGUUGCAAUUAUCGCACUGCAAGGCUCGGCACAUUCCCUCGUGGUGGUAGUUGCACCGGUCGCACUUCGGGAGUGUUCCUUUGUAUGGUCUGCUCGGUACGGGGAUGGCAGAGGUUUCCACUUACUGUUGUUGCAUGGCAAGUUUUCGGGGUUUCUUGCGUUCUUUCUGGGCUUGGCGCUUCUGUUUCUUGUUCUUUGAUUUUCGGCGUUGCAGGCCUGUGGCCGUUACCGUUUGAUGACUUCCUGGAUGGAUACCACGAUUGGAAACUUCAUUCCCAUCAACAGCAUUGAUUGUGCUGAUAGUGCUACGGUGCGCAAGGACAGCUGUCACGGCAGCUGUAACUGCUGUUUGGAAGGUAGCGGCGUCCAUAGUAAAGGCGGAGGUCUCGCUAUUCGACUAUUUGUUUCCGGGUGACGACAUGAUUUUGUAACACAAAAGAUAAGGAUUUUGUGAGCGAUUCUAGUUGACCCUUGAUGUACUUAGAUUGUUCAUGUAAAAGAGUACGACUAUGUUCUCACAAGUUUGACCUACAUCCCUAUGACGCAGUCCUAGCACGGAUUGGAAGUAUGUUCACGGAGGUUUGACCUACAUCCCUAUGAUGCAGUCCUAAUAAUGAGUAGAAGUAAGUUCGUAGAAUGGUCUUAAGACGUUUGUCGUUCAAGCCGAGGUAUCGUAGGUUGGUGAAUAACAAGAUCCAACCACUGAAAGAGACUUGGAAUUGUCUCCGGAGCUAAAUUACUAUAGUCUAAUGACUUGACUAAAUCAUGAUACAGAUAGACUCCAAUGAAAGUAUGAUAAGAGUACUUGAAUAAAAAAUGACACAGAAGUUAGCCGACUGUCAAUAUCUUUGAUAUUCAUGACGAAAAAGUUCGGGAAAAUGACCUUGUAAAGGUCUUACAUCAUAUGCGGAGAAGAUAGUUCUUGACAGCAUAACGACCUAACCAAAAGUACUUACAGUACAAGGUAAUUUCAUAGAAAAUGCCACAUCGGGGAUAGGUAGAAAAACGAUUCCUGUUAACAAGGAAAAAUAAAGUAAAGUGUCUACUACCGACGACGGUCAUCCCUCUGGUGAACUCCCAGUUCAGCCAGUUGACGUUCCACAUCAAGUAGGUGUAUUUCGUAUACCUUCUGGCGUACUCGGAGCUCUAUGACUUCGGCUUGUGAUUCAGUCAGUGCUUGCAGCAGGGUUUCGUGGUUUCUCUCAGAUCUCCCGCGAGCAUCUUCUACACGAAUGGUGCGGAGGGUAUGCAUUCUUGCAUUGGCGACAACUUCAGUGAUCUGAUGUAGGGCUGUCCUGCCUUGAAUCUCAUUUUGGGCCACUUUGCGGACCAAGGUUGGCAAGAUUUUAUCUGUUGGGCCCCCAUUGCUCAGCUCGUAAAAGCUUCGGUCGCCAUUAAAUGGCAUGGGCUGAUCUUGUCCUUGGUUCCAUGUUUCAAAACAUUCCACCCACUCAGGCGUCGGGCCAUGAAAAGUCGGACGAGGGUUAGGAAUUGGAAAGGGAGCUGCUCGGGGUAGGUUCUCAACCUCUUGUUCUGAGUUAGCAUUGUCCGAAAGGUCUUCAUCACGGUGAUCAUUCAAAGGGAUAGGAUGAUCAUUCUCUGGUUCUUCUCCAAACCAUCCAGCAAUGACCUCAUUCGGGAGGUACCGGUUGCCGUGGGAAUGGAGUCCAGCUAUGUUUUCUAUGCGAGAAUUUAGGGUAAGAGAAUAAUUAUUAGACGAACUAUCUAGAUAAUUAUUUAGAAAAUCUUCAUUAGUUACAUCGUUAUUUGUGAAGUGCAUACCAGCUAUGUGUAAUCUAAACAGGAUAGACCUUCGAAUAAGUGACAUUAACUCCGUAUUCACACAGAAUAGGGGUAAAGUAAAAUUUCCACAGAUUCUAAGUCUAUAACAUGCUAAUUACAUAUAGCUUUAGUGUAUCCACUUAGCAAAUAUCAACUUAGUAAUGAAGACCCCGUUUUAGUUCUCAAGUAUAAAGUAUUUAUAGUAACACCAAAUACUCCUAUAGUAUUUUAAAUUUUAAUGUUAUGUUCUAUUGUUCUCAUUGUGGUAGGGUUAGUAAGAUUUUAGCAUUGUUGCAACCACACAAUUAAACUUAGGCACAUGCUAGUCAACCCUCGGAUAAUAUAGGUGAUCAGGCUAUAUCUUCCCAGUUUUGACCAUAUGUCUCUAAGCCCACUUGUGUUGCCCAACAAUCGUAAUUCUUUUGUACUGUCCUAGUGACACUGAUUUUAGUAUGAAUGCAGCACGUAUACUUACUUAAAUAUUUUAUUAUUUAAAGUAUAAACUCUUGGUCAGAGUAUUUUUAAUCCCUUAUGUAUUUAUAGUUAGUAUAUCUUUUAUGGGUUGAUAUACUUAAUUAUAAACAAUGCUCUGAUGCCAAUCCGUCACACCCCAAAACCAUUGAACGGCGGAAACGUUCUAGGGCGGAGGACUUCACGUAAAGUAUCACAACAAUGAAAAGUAGUAAACAAGCAACAACAUCAUCCAUUGCAUUAAUAAUAUAAUUUUAAUACAAGUGUAUUCUGAUAGGUAUAAUAGACACUAAUGAAUAAAUCAAAAUAAAAGACGAGACUUGAACGAGCUCCAUCUUCCUUAAUCCUUGCAUUGGUACCUGUCUAUGAUGACUAGAGGAUACAAGUAAUUUUGAAAGCGAGUAUCAGCUUUGAAGCUGGUGAGAUCAUAAGUAUUUUAGUGUCUUAAUUUGUAUGAAAAUACUUGUAUGAAUUUGAAAUGUAAGUAUUUGUAUGUAUACGAAUUGUAAGUAUUGAAAAUGUAAAUGAACUGUAGGUAUGAAAAUGUUUCGAAAACAACUGCAAACGUUUGAAAAACCCUAGAAAUCCCUAUGAUUCCUAUUAGUAACAAAAGGAGUCUUCUACCAAGACUUAACUGUUCUCAAGGUAGUCUUCUACCAAGACCUAACUGCUCUGAAUGUAGCCUUCUACCAAGGCAUCUAAUGUCUGUGCGUGUGUCUCUUGUAAGGGUAUGUAUUUUCCCAGGUAUGACUAUCAUUAACCAAAAAUAUAGUUUCUACAUUUUCGUGCGUCGUGUGAAUGUUCACGAAGUGAAUGUAAAUGGGAAAACGAAAUAGUACUAUGGUGUAGUGUCGAACUACAACCGUACCAAUUUCCUUAAGUCUAGGGUAAUCGUGUAAGUACUGUAGUAUUUGUAAUAAAUAACUACAUCGGUACUCCGCUGCCUUAUUUGAGGGAUAAGGUAUAAUGUGAUGUCUAGAUCCCAGGCUGUACGCUCCCCUAUCAAAGGGAUUUUGGGACCUACCCACGACCCCUGCAUAUCUGCAAGCCGUGAGCAUC
rnacentral:lncRNA from 1 species